rnacentral:lncRNA from 1 species
GAAUCCAAAGGAACGUCGGCCCGUCAGGAUUCUCUCUCGAUCUAUUACACUGUUGAUACCUCUGGUGUCCGGUAGCUGCCUUUUUUUUUUUCCUUCUGUUUUUUGGUUUUUGUUUCUUUUAACUUCAGAAGGGAGAAAGUGAGGGAACACUGCAACUGAAUAUGGGUCAUGUGCCAGUUUUCUGUAAUGGAAUUGGAUUUUGGAAGAAGGUCUGGGA